CGCCCGCGGGGCUGCAGCUCCCGGCUCGCACUCCAUCAUCGACGGAUGACAGCAGGAACGGUGGGAGUUCAUUACAGGGACCAUGAAUUGUUGGAGAGGAAUCCGAAGAAACAUGCUGGAUGUCCCCGGAGGAGAAGCUGAACCCAUGUGAGGGGGGCUUCACUGACUCUCCCCAUACACAGGGCACCGGGGAGAGCAGCCACAUGACUGCGGGCUGGGGCUUUUGCCCCUGAUGGGAGGCGAUGAGGAGGGCACCGGUCUGGCCCUGAGACAACCCCCAGACCAGCCCCGACUGGGACACUCUGCAGGAUGUCAAGCAGCGCCCCCCAAAGCUGUCAAGGCCAUCCUAGACCAGCGGGGCCUCAGGAGAUGGUGCAGAGUCCCGGACCAGACAAAGGGCACUGGGAAAGCAGGAGCCCGAAGGAAGGCUGGAAUUCAGGGAAGAGCCACGUGCCAGGCUGUGACGAAGGUGACAAGAUGAAACACUGACGGGGGCGGAGGAGGCAUCCGAACUCUACGCGCUACCUUUGCACUACUCUGUAAAUCUAAAAUUAUUCAGAAGUGAAAGUUAAAAAUCA